UACAGAGGUCUCAAGCGUUGUUCGGAUUCAUUGGGCGUAAAGGGUGUGUAGGCGGCGCGGUAAGUCGGGUGUGAAAUCUCGGAGCUUAACUCCGAAACUGCAUUCGAUACUGCCGUGCUUGAGGACUGGAGAGGAGACUGGAAUUUACGGUGAGCAGUGAAAUGCGUAGAGAUCGUAAGGAAGACCAGUGGCGAAGGCGGGU
rnacentral:rRNA from 1 species